rnacentral:rRNA from 1 species
UACGUAGGGGGCAAGCGUUGUCCGGAAUUAUUGGGCGUAAAGAGCUUGUAGGCGGUUUGUCGCGUCUGCUGUGAAAAUCCGGGGCUCAACCCCGGACUUGCAGUGGGUACGGGCAGACUAGAGUGUGGUAGGGGAGACUGGAAUUCCUGGUGUAGCGGUGGAAUGCGCAGAUAUCAGGAGGAACACCGAUGGCGAAGUCAGGUCUCUGGGCCACUACUGACGCUGAGAAGCGAAAGCAUGGGGAGCGAACAGG